rnacentral:lncRNA from 1 species
AGAAGCCUCAUGUGGGGAACAACAUACUCCUGGAAAGCCUGGGCUUCCCGUCUCGGGUUCUGGAAAGUCCAGGCUUCCCGUCUCGGGUUCUGGAAAGCCUGGGCUUCCCAUCUUGGGUUCUGGAAAGCCUGGGCUUCCUCUCUAGGGUUCUGGAAAGUCCGGGCUUCCCCGUCUCGGGUUCUGGGGAAGUCCGGGCUUCCCGUCUCAGGUUCUGGAAAGUCCGGGCUUCCCGUCUCGGGUUCUGGAAAGUCCGGGCUUCCUCUCUAGGGUUCUGGAAAGCCUGGGCUUCCUCUCUAGGGUUCUGGAAAGUCCGGGCUUCCCCGUCUCGGGUUCUGGAAAGCCUGGGCUUCCUCUCUAGGGUUCUGGAAAGUCCGGGCUUCCCGUCUCGGGUUCUGGAAAGUCCAGGCUUCCCGUCUCGGGUUCUGGAAAGUCCAGGCUUCCCGUCUCGGGUUCUGGAAAGCCUGGGCUUCCCAUCUUGGGUUCUGGAAAGCCUGGGCUUCCUCUCUAGGGUUCUGGAAAGUCCGGGCUUCCCCGUCUCGGGUUCUGGGGAAGUCCGGGCUUCCCGUCUCAGGUUCUGGAAAGUCCGGGCUUCCUGUCUCGGGUUCUGGAAAGUCCGGGCUUCCUCUCUAGGGUUCUGGAAAGCCUGGGCUUCCUCUCUAGGGUUCUGGAAAGUCCGGGCUUCCCCGUCUCGGGUUCUGGAAAGCCUGGGCUUCCUCUCUAGGGUUCUGGAAAGUCCGGGCUUCCCAUCUCGGGUUCUGGAAAGCCUGGGCUUCCCAUCUCAGGUUCUGGAAAGUCCAGGCUUCCCGUCUUGGGUUCUGGAAAGCCUGGGCUUCCCGUCUCAGGUUCUGGAAAGUCCAGGCUUCCCGUCUUGGGUUCUGGAAAGCCUGGGCUUCCCGUCUCGGGUUCUGGAAAGUCCAGGCUUCCCGUCUCGGGUUCUGGAAAGCCUGGGCUUCCCGUCUCGGGUUCUGGAAAGCCUGGGCUUCCCGUCUCGGGUUCUGGAAAGCCUGGGCUUCCUCUCUAGGGUUCUGGAAAGUCCGGGCUUCCCAUCUCAGGUUCUGGAAAGCCUGGGCUUCCCGUCUCAGGUUCUGGAAAGUCCAGGCUUCCCGUCUUGGGUUCUGGAAAGCCUGGGCUUCCUCUCUAGGGUUCUGGAAAGUCCGGGCUUCCCCAUCUCGGGUUCUGGGAAGUCCAGGCUUCCCGUCUCGGGUUCUGGAAAGUCCGGGCUUCCUCUCUAGGGUUCUGGAAAGCCUGGGCUUCCUCUCUAGGGCUCUGGAAAGCCUGGGCUUCCUGUCUUGGGUUCUGGAAAGCCUGGGCUUCCCGUCUCGGGUUCUGGAAAGUCCGGGCUUCCCGUCUCGGGUUCUGGAGCAGGUCUCGUGUACCCUGCCAGGGGUCCUUUUCCCUCAACCCCCUGGGGCAGGUCCGAGGCAGCCUCUCAUCAGAGAAGGAUACACAGAGGGGGAAGUUACCGCCCAGCUACCACUCCCUUCUUAACACAGCAAGUUCCCCAUACAUGCUGCCAGGAGGUCAUGAAAAUAAAUCCAUA